rnacentral:rRNA from 1 species
GGGUUGUGAGGUUAAGCGACUAAGCGUACACGGUGGAUGCCCUGGCAGUCAGAGGCGAUGAAGGACGUGCUAAUCUGCGAUAAGCGUCGGUAAGGUGAUAUGAACCGUUAUAACCGGCGAUUUCCGAAUGGGGAAACCCAGUGUGAUCCGUCACACUAUCAUUAACUGAAUCCAUAGGUUAAUGAGGCGAACCGGGGGAACUGAAACAUCUAAGUACCCCGAGGAAAAGAAAUCAACCGAGAUUCCCCCAGUAGCGGCGAGCGAACGGGGAG